AAUUCUGAACUCUUGUCUCAUACUCAUAUGUAUAGAUAGGCAUAGAGAGAAGGAUUCAUACAUACACAAGAAGCUUUGACUUCUGACAUUUGAGUCACACACUCCAAAAAUACCAUCACAUUCACCGUUUCCGGUCCUUCUGCUGUUGUCGAUGACCAAACUACUAGCUAAGUGAGGAUGUUGCCCUGUGGCGUGAGCAGCUUUCUGUGACUCACCCUUUGUGCAGCAGCUCCAGUUUGAGGCCUUUAGACAUCACCACCCUCCUGAAGCCGCGGUGGUUCCGGUUGAUUGACAGGGUGAAACUCUGGUUAUAUUCUGGUGAAAAGAGAGCACAGAUGGAGAAGCUGCCUUCUGAGACCUUACACAUACAGUAUUUCACACAAAUAAACCAUAAAAACGGUUCAUCCAUAUUAACCUUCAUUUAUUUGCACAGCUGCAACAUUUCCACAUUUAGUCAAUACUUCCACCUUCUUUGUUUUGAAACAGUGAGCAGCUCUUUUCAUUCUAAAAAACUGUUUUUAUUUUACUUUUUUUUGUAAAUUUUUAUAUCAUAUUUAGCAUUCUUGACUUUUGCAAAAUUUGUUUUUCUUCUUUUCUCUUACAAUGUUUUUGUUAUUGUGACUGUUGUGAACCAAAUCUAAUUCUCCAUAUACUGUAUUCUUAAGACAGAAAACAUCUUCACAUUGAUUUAUUUUUAUCUUGACUAUUUUGUAAUAAAAUCACUCCUAAACGUAAAUGUGUCUUAGAAAAUAAUCCCAAAAAUAACAAGAUAUAAAAUGGAAAAAAAAACAUUUACAAUAAUUGGUGUAGCUGCAGCCGGCAGUAGCAAAAUAUGGCUGCAACUUAAUCCUUGCGGGCAGGUGCGCCCUGUCAAAGUACGUAGAGCAAAGUAGUGCUUAGUAGUAGUUUUUGCCACUGACAGGCUCAGAUUGUUAUUAUAAGUGUCUGACAACAUUGUGGAAAAGAUCCCUUCAGAGGUAGACCUUUUUGUUUAACCAGAAACAGUCACUUUAUCGCUCUCGAUAUUAAAGCUACCAGACUCCAUGGAUACAAACAGUACUUUUAUCUCGCAGAACACAGGUUGCUCUACUGCUGCCCCGGUCAGUUUGUUUGUUUGUGUUAUUUAUUGUGUGACUUUAGAGCUUUAAAAGGGUUAAAACACCAAAGUCACAAAAUAACACAAAGUAUCAGUUUGAGGAAGCAGUAGACCAGAGAGUCUGGGAGCUUUGAUCUCGAGAGAGAUAUAGCAACUGUUUCUGGUUAAACAAAAAUGAUCUUAGGUCUACCUCUGUAGGGAUCUUUCCACAACAUUGUCAGACACUAGUAAUAACAAUCUGAGCCUGUCAAUAGCAAAAAAAAUAAACGCUUUAGCGGAUGAAUUUUAACGUUAGAGCAAUUGCCUUCAAGGAUUACGCUGCAGCUGUUUCUACUGACUGCUACGCGCUCACUCAAGACUGGACCAAUUUCAAAGAAUCUUGUCCUAAUUACAUACAUAGACCCAAAAACAUGUGAAAAUUAGGUUGAAAAAGGUCCAGGUUAAAGAUAUCAAAGUUACUCUUCAGUGGAUUGACAUCACUUAUGAAGAGUUUUGUGUCUUGAUUGUUUAGACAAAUGAAAAUAAAAUAUCCACAAAUGCCAAUAAAAUGAUGCAAACACAUGACAAUGUACAUGUCUCACCUGGGGAGUUAGUGUUCUUGAUGACCACUGUUUUGUGUUUCUGCGGCUGCUCCUGGUGGCAACAAAACAGACACACUUUUAAAGGAGUAAAGUCACCUGUAUGAAUCGUCUCAGCAGCCUGCGGUGGCUGUGAAGAGCUGGUAGAGUGAAUCUCUUACCGUGCUGGGGUAGGGGAAGUCAAACUUGACGAAGGCAUCUAGGUCAUUUGUUUGGAUUCCUGCGAGAAAGUUUAUCACAAAGCAUCAACCAGUGUGUGCUUUUUCUUUUCAAACCAGACCUUAAAUAUUUGACUGAAUUCAUUAUGGCCUUAAUGACCUGAAGCUAGGUCUGUUUAAGACAUAAGAUUUAAGGUUUAAUUUUUCCCCUGAACCACAACAAACUUGAAUUUAGUAUAAAACGUGACUUUUCAGUGUUUUCAGAACCAUUGUUCUAGUACUAACAGACCUACUGUACUGUAUAAAAGGACUGAUGGGUGAAGAUUUUUGUUUUUACCACUAGGAGCUGGAAGAUUCAUCCCUUUGACAAUAGUAACAACCAUGUCAGUGCUGCUCAGCUCUGGAAAUAUCCUGAAAGUGAUGUUUAGGGGGAGGAAGACCUCUGGACUGAGCCAGCUUCAGGACCUCCAGACUUUUCUUACAACUCUCCGCCAUCUUCUCAAACCUGGAGCACACACAAAAAUCAGGAUUUGACUAAUCAGGUUUACAGUAUAAUGAAAUACACAAAUAGAAAGAAAAUACAUGAACUUGUUGUUUUCUGAUAACAACUCUUUGGGCUCUGGUAUCACAUUUCUGUCCCUUUAUGACAUUUUUUGAGUGUUUAGAGUUUGUACGUUACUGUUAACAAAAUAAAAAACUGUUUACUGCUUA